rnacentral:rRNA from 1 species
AUUGAACGCUGGCGGCAGGCCUAACACAUGCAAGUCGAACGAGUGGCGGACGGGUGAGUAAUGUCUGUGAAACUGCCUGAUGGAGGGGGAUAACUACUGGAACCGGUAGCUAAUACCGCAUACCAUCGGAUGUGCCCAGAUGGGAUUAGCUAGUAGGUGGGGUAAAGGCGCACCUAGGCGACGAUCCCUAGCUGGUCUGAGAGGAUGACAAGCAACACUGGAACUGAGAAACGGUCCAGAAUCCGACGGGAGGAAGCAGUGGGGAAUAGUGCACAAUGGGCGCAAGCCUGAUGCAGCCAUGCCGCGGGUAUGAAGAAGGCCUUAGGGUUGUAAAGUACUUGCAGCGGGGAGGCGUUACCCGCAGAAGAAGCACCGGCUAACUCCGUGCCAGCAGCCGCGGUAAUAC